AUUGAGAGUUUGAUCCUGGCUCAGGAUGAACGCUAGCGGCAGGCCUAACACAUGCAAGUCGAACGGUAACGGGGAUCUGUUUACAGAUUCGCCGACGAGUGGCGGAUGGGUGAGUAUCGCGUAUGCAAUCUUCAUUAUGCUAAGGAAUAGCCAGGGGAAACCCUGAUUAAUGCCUUAUAGUUUGCUUAAUCGGCAUCGAUCUAGCAAUAAAGAUUUAUCGGCAUAAUAUGAGCAUGCGUCUUAUUAGUUUGUAGGUAAGGUAACGGCUUACCUAGACUACGAUAAGUAGGGGCCCUGAGAGGGGGAUCCCCCACACUGGAACUGAGACACGGUCCAGACUCCUACGGGAGGCAGCAGUGAGGAAUAUUGGUCAAUGGACGCAAGUCUGAACCAGCCAUGCCGCGUGCAGGAUGACUGCCUUAUGGGUUGUAAACUGCUUUUGAUUAGGAAGAAAUGUGCCCACGAGUUGGGUACUUGACGGUACUGAUCGAAUAAGGAUCGGCUAACUCCGUGCCAGCAGCCGCGGUAAUACGGAGGAUCCAAGCGUUAUCCGGAAUCAUUGGGUUUAAAGGGUUCGUAGGCGGAUAGAUCAGUCAGCGGUGAAAGUUUAUGGCUUAACCAUAAAAUUGCCGUUGAUACUGUUUAUCUUGAAUAAGUGUGAAGUGGUUAGAAUGAGUAGUGUAGCGGUGAAAUGCAUAGAUAUUACUCGGAAUACCAAUUGCGAAGGCAGAUCACUAACACUUUAUUGACGCUGAGGAACGAAAGCGUGGGGAGCAAACAGGAUUAGAUACCCUGGUAGUCCACGCCGUAAACGAUGGAUACUAGUUGUUCGAGUUACAUUGGUAACUUGAGUGACUAAGCGAAAGUGAUAAGUAUCCCACCUGGGGAGUACGUUCGCAAGAAUGAAACUCAAAGGAAUUGACGGGGGCCCGCACAAGCGGUGGAGCAUGUGGUUUAAUUCGAUGAUACGCGAGGAACCUUACCAGGGCUUAAAUGUAGUCUGACAGGGGUGGAAACAUCCCCUUCUUCGGACAGACUACAAGGUGCUGCAUGGUUGUCGUCAGCUCGCGCCGUGAGGUGUCAGGUUAAGUCCUAUAACGAGCGCAACCCCUGUCGUUAGUUGCCAGCGAGUCAUGUCGGGAACUCUAACGAGACUGCCAGUGCAAACUGUGAGGAAGGUGGGGAUGACGUCAAAUCAUCACGGCCCUUACGUCCUGGGCUACACACGUGCUACAAUGGUAGGGACAGAGAGCAGCCACUGGGUGACCAGGAGCGAAUCUAUAAACCCUAUCUCAGUUCGGAUCGAAGUCUGCAACUCGACUUCGUGAAGCUGGAAUCGCUAGUAAUCGCAGAUCAGCCAUGCUGCGGUGAAUACGUUCCCGGGCCUUGUACACACCGCCCGUCAAGCCAUGGAAGCUGGGGGUACCUGAAGUUGGUGACCGCAAGGAGCCACCUAGGGUAAAACCGGUAACUAGGGCUAAGUCGUAACAAGGUAGCCGUA
rnacentral:rRNA from 1 species